AGUAAAAGUCGUAACAAGGUUUCCGUAGGUGAACCUGCGGAAGGAUCAUUAACGUAUCUCUGACGGGGCGGGUCGGCCCUGCUCGGACCCGAAAGGGCCUUUGCAGCGGGUUGCCCGUCACGCUCAACCUUCACAAACCCUGUGCACCUUUGCGGCGGGAGGCGGCGGCGAGAGCCCCGUCCGAUGCCGAACACACACAAACCCGAGUCUAAAGAAUGACAAGCGGCCCCGUGCCGCCUAAAACAUAACAACUUUCAACAACGGAUCUCUUGGCUCUCGCAUCGACGAAGAACGCAGCGAAAUGCGAUAAGUAAUGUGAAUUGCAGAAUUCAGUGAAUCAUCGAAUCUUUGAACGCACCUUGCGCUCCUUGGUAUUCCGAGGAGCAUGCCUGUUUGAGUGUCUUGAAGUCAUCAACCCCUGCCGUUUCGUGCGGCUUGCGUGUUGGAGCUGGGGGCUUGCUGCCGAGAGGCGGCUCCCCUCAAAUGCGUCGGUUGGGCCUGCGGGUCGGACUCGAUUGGGCGUUGUACCAUCCUCGCUCUGAACGAGAAGUUCCCCUAUUAGUCGCCCCUCCACGACCAGCCUUCCAGAGUGGCGGUCAAACCAAAACCUUGAAAUCUGACCUCAAAUCAGGUAGGACUACCCGCUGAACUUAAGCAUAUCAAUAAGCGGAGGA
rnacentral:rRNA from 1 species